GAUGAACGCUGGCGGCGUGCCUAAUACAUGCAAGUCGAGCGAACAGACCAGGAUCUUGUUCCUCUGUCGUUUGCCGCGGACGGGUGAGUAACACGUGGAUCACCUCCCUAUCAUACUGGGAUCACUUCGAGACUCCGGCUCAUAUACCGUAUAAUCUAUUGCUCCGCAUUGUUCAAUAGUGAAAUACGGUUUUGCUGUCUCUUCUCGCUGCUUCCGCGCCGGAUUAGCUAGUUGUUAAGGUCCCGGCUUUUCAAGGCUACGAUGCGUAGCCGACCUGAGAGGGUGAUCGGCCACACUGGAACUGAGACACGGUACAGACUCCUACGGGAGGCAGCAGUAGGGAAACUUCAGCAAGGGGCGAAAGACAGACGGAGCAACGCCGCGUGAUUGAUGAAGGUCUUCGGAUCGUAAAACUCUGUUAUUAGGGAAGAACACAUGUGUAAGUAACUAUGCACGUCUUGAAGGUACAUAAGCAGAAAGCCACGGCUAAAUAAGUG
rnacentral:rRNA from 1 species